CCGAAACACAUUCCUAGCUCUAGAUCUGCCUUACAUUUCAAUAAUGGCUCUUUCAUCACAUUUGCUUGAUAACUGCUGAUUUGUAAUGCUUAAAAUUGAUCCCACUCAGUUUGACUAUCUUAGGUUAGCUGUAAUAUCGAACUCGACAGUAGCUUCCUCUGUCAUGUCGGAGAUCUCAGGAGACGACUGGGUAUUUUGUGUCAAGAAGAGGUUAAUCUCCCACUUAACAAGAUAAACAUCAAAUUCAUAGGAGUGCCAAACAGGGACCGUUUAAUCGAGAGGACUUCUCUGAUGACAGAGAUGUGGAAAAGACUACGUCCUUCUCUGGAAAACUACAAGGAUAAAAUACCCACCUUCUUCGGGAAAAAGUCCAUCAUAUGCGAAAGGAAACUUACUCACGUGCGAAAGACGAACUCUAAGAAUUGGAGAAUAACGGCAGUAGACAGCAGCUAAUUUCCCCUGUACUCAAC